rnacentral:rRNA from 1 species
UGGGGAAUAUUGCACAAUGGGCGCAAGCCUGAUGCAGCGACGCCGCGUGAGGGGUGACGGCCUUCGGGUUGUAAACCUCUUUCAGCUCCGACGAAGCGCAAGUGACGGUAGGAGCAGAAGAAGCACCGGCCAACUACGUGUCAGCAGCCGCGGUAAUACGUAGGGUGCAAGCGUUGUCCGGAAUUACUGGGCGUAAAGAGCUCGUAGGCGGUUUGUCGCGUCGUCUGUGAAAUUCUGCAGCUUAACUGCAGGCGUGCAGGCGAUACGGGCAGACUUGAGUACUACAGGGGAGACUGGAAUUCCUGGUGUAGCGGUGAAAUGCGCAGAUAUCAGGAGGAACACCGGUGGCGAAGGCGGGUCUCUGGGUAGUAACUGACGCUGAGGAGCGAAAGCGUGGGUAGCGAACAGG